rnacentral:miRNA from 1 species
GCAGACACAUUCCAGCCAAUCAGCAGCAGACCCUCCCUCCCAGACUCUCCCACCUCCUGGACAGCUCACUAAGAAUGCAGCUUCGCAAUGAAUGUAAAAUGGAUGCUGUCCAGGAGGUGGGAGGGUCUGGGAGGGAGGGUCUGCUGCUGAUUGGCUGGAAUGUGUCUG